AACGAACGCUGGCGGCAGGCUUAACACAUGCAAGUCGAACGCCCGUAGCAAUACGGGAGUGGCGGACGGGUGAGUAACGCGUGGGAACGUACCCUGAGGUACGGAAUAACCGAGGGAAACUUCGGCUAAUACCGUAUGAGCCCCGCAAGGGGAAAGGAUUUAUCGCCUUGGGAGCGGCCCGCGUCGGAUUAGCUAGUUGGUGGGGUAACGGCCUACCAAGGCUUCGAUCCGUAGCUGGUCUGAGAGGACGAUCAGCCACACUGGGACUGAGACACGGCCCAGACUCCUACGGGAGGCAGCAGUGGGGAAUCUUGCGCAAUGGGGGCAACCCUGACGCAGCCAUGCCGCGUGAACGAUGAAGGCCUUAGGGUUGUAAAGUUCUUUUACCCGUGACGAUGAUGACGGUAACGGGGGAAUAAGCUCCGGCUAACUUCGUG
rnacentral:rRNA from 1 species